GUGGGGUCAAUGAUACAGAAAAAGGCAAUAAAAUAUACGAUGUGACCAAUAAUGCAACAAUUAUACACAUGUAACAUAUCCCCAGAUAGCUCAGGUCUGAGCGCAGAUUAAUACAGAAUAGUGCUCAGACCACACGAAUACAGUUUAAUUGCCAUGGAGCCAAAGUCUUUAAUUACAUGAACAGGCUCCAUGGCAUGCUACCUGG